UACGGGGGGGGCAAGCGUUGUUCGGAAUUACUGGGCGUAAAGGGCUCGUAGGCGGCCAACUAAGUCGGACGUGAAAUCCCCAGGCUUAACCUGGGAACUGCGUCCGAUACUGGAUGGCUUGAAUCCGGGAGAGGGAUGCAGAAUUCCAGGUGUAGCGGUGAAAUGCGUAGAUAUCUGGAGGAAUACCGGUGGCGAAGGCGGCAUCCUGGACCGGCAUUGACGCUGAGGAGCGAAAGCCAGGGGAGCAAACGGG
rnacentral:rRNA from 1 species